rnacentral:rRNA from 1 species
UGGGGAAUAUUGCACAAUGGGCGCAAGCCUGAUGCAGCAACGCCGCGUGAGGGACGACGGCCUUCGGGUUGUAAACCUCUUUUAGUAGGGAAGAAGCGAAAGUGACGGUACCUGCAGAAAAAGCACCGGCUAACUACGUGCCAGCAGCCGCGGUAAUACGUAGGGUGCGAGCGUUGUCCGGAAUUAUUGGGCGUAAAGAGCUCGUAGGCGGUCUGUCGCGUCUGCUGUGAAAACCCGAGGCUCAACCUCGGGCCUGCAGUGGGUACGGGCAGACUAGAGUGCGGUAGGGGAGAAUGGAAUUCCUGGUAUAGCGGUGGAAUGCGCAGAUAUCAGGAGGAACACCGAUGGCGAAGGCAGUUCUCUGGGCCGUAACUGACGCUGAGGAGCGAAAGCGUGGGGAGCGAACAGGAUUAGAUACCCUGGUAGUCCACGCCGUAAACGUUGGGCGCUAGAUGUGGGGACCAUUCCACGGUUUCCGUGUCGCAGCUAACGCAUUAA